rnacentral:rRNA from 1 species
CGUAUGUCCCCGAGCGUUAUCCGGAUUUAUUGGGCGUAAAGCGAGCGCAGACGGUUGAUUAAGUCUGAUGUGAAAGCCCGGAGCUCAACUCCGGAAUGGCAUUGGAAACUGGUUAACUUGAGUGCAGUAGAGGUAAGUGGAACUCCAUGUGUAGCGGUGGAAUGCGUAGAUAUAUGGAAGAACACCAGUGGCGAAGGCGGCUUACUGGACUGUAACUGACGUUGAGGCUCGAAAGUGUGGGUAGCAAACAGGAUUAGAUACCCUGGUAGUCCACACCGUAAACGAUGAACACUAGGUGUUAGGAGGUUUCCGCCUCUUAGUGCCGAAGCUAACGCAUUAAGUGUUCCGCCUGGGGAGUACGACCGCAAGGUUGAAACUCAAAGGAAUUGACGGGGACCCGCACAAGCGGUGGAGCAUGUGGUUUAAUUCGAAGCAACGCGAAGAACCUUACCAGGUCUUGACAUCCUUUGAAGCUUUUAGAGAUAGAAGUGUUCUCUUCGGAGACAAAGUGACAGGUGGUGCAUGGUCGUCGUCAGCUCGUGUCGUGAGAUGUUGGGUUAAGUCCCGCAACGAGCGCAACCCUUAUUGUUAGUUGCCAGCAUUCAGAUGGGCACUCUAGCGAGACUGCCGGUGACAAACCGGAGGAAGGCGGGGACGACGUCAGAUCAUCAUGCCCCUUAUGACCUGGGCUACACACGUGCUACAAUGGCGUAUACAACGAGUUGCCAACCCGCGAGGGUGAGCUAAUCUCUUAAAGUACGUCUCAGUUCGGAUUGUAGUCUGCAACUCGACUACAUGAAGUCGGAAUCGCUAGUAAUCGCGGAUCAGCACGCCGCGGUGAAUACGUUCCCGGGUCUUGUACACACCGCCCGUCACACCAUGGGAGUUUGUAAUGCCCAAAGCCGGUGGCCUAACCUUUAGGAAGGAGCCGUCUAAGCAGACAGAUGGGG